rnacentral:rRNA from 1 species
UGGGGAAUAUUGCACAAUGGGCGCAAGCCUGAUGCAGCAACGCCGCGUGAGCGAGGAAGGCCUGGUCGUAAAGCUCUGUCCUUGGGAAGAAGGAAGUGACGGUACCCAAGGAGGAAGCCCCGGCUAACUACGUGCC